rnacentral:rRNA from 1 species
AUUGAACGCUGGCGGCAUGCUUUACACAUGCAAGUCGAACGGUAACAGGGUGCUUGCACCGCUGACGAGUGGCGAACGGGUGAGUAAUGCGUCGGAACGCACCGAGUAAUGGGGGAUAACGCAGCGAAAGCUGUGCUAAUACCGCAUACGCUCUGAGGAGGAAAGCGGGGGACCUUCGGGCCUCGCGUUAUUCGAGCGGCCGCCGUCGGAUUAGCUAGUCGGUGAGGUAAGAGCUCACCUAGGCGACGAUCAGUAGCGGGUCUGAGAGGAUGAUCCGCCACACUGGGACUGAGACACGGCCCAGACUCCUACGGGAGGCAGCAGUGGGGAGUUUUGGACAAUGGGCGCAAGCCUGAUCCAGCCAUGCCGCGUGUCUGAAGAAGGCCUUCGGGUUGUAAAGGACUUUUGUCAGGGAGGAAAUCCUUAGCGCUAAUACCGUUGAGGGAUGACAGUACCUGAAGAAUAAGCACCGGCUAACUACGUGCCAGCCGCCGCAGUAAUAC